ensembl:snRNA U2 U2 spliceosomal RNA
GAGACUUCUUGGCCUUUCGGCUAAGAUCAAGUGUAGUAUCUGUUCUUAUCAGUUUAAUAUAAGAGAAUUCUCCACAAGCAAUUUUAUUAUUGAUGCCAAGUGAUUUUUGUAAAGUAAAUAAAU